AGAGUACAGCUCAGUGGUAGAGUGUGUGCUUAGCAUGCACAGGGUCUUGAGUUCAAUCCCCAGUAUGUCUG
rnacentral:tRNA from 1 species